rnacentral:rRNA from 1 species
AUGGCGACCAUGAUGGCCAUGAGCUCCUUCGCCGGUGCCGCCGUCCUGCCGCGCGGCUCGGCCGGCCGCUUUGGGGCCCGGUCUCUGCCAACGCUGGGCCGACGCGCCCUUGUCGUCAGGGCACAGACCGAGGGCCCGAGCGCACCACCGUCAAACAAACCCAAGGCGAGCACCUCGAUCUGGGACGCGCUGGCAUUCAGCGGCCCUGCCCCGGAGCGCAUCAACGGGCGGCUGGCCAUGGUGGGCUUCGUGACGGCACUUGCGGUGGAGGCAGGGCGUGGCGACGGGCUCCUCUCGCAGCUCGGCAAUGGCACCGGGCAGGCGUGGUUCGUCUACACCGUGGCGGUGCUGUCCGUGGCGUCGCUGGUGCCGUUGCUCCAGGGCGAGAGCGCUGAGGGUAGAGCCGGCGCCAUCAUGAACGCCAACGCGGAGCUCUGGAACGGCCGCUUCGCCAUGCUCGGACUCGUCGCGCUCGCCGCCACCGAGAUCAUCACUGGCGCGCCCUUUAUCAACGUGUAA